AAGCAGGGUACAAGUUACGGUGGAGAUUUCACCAGCAUCAGCCCAGAGGUAGGAUGGGAGCAGAGAGCGAUGUCCAUGGAGAUCCUGAUCUGAUCGAUGUGACAGCACAGGGCAGGGAAUUAAUGUUCCACCUCUGCUGAGUGACAGGAGAAGGCAAGUCCUCACUGGAAGAGCACGUGUUGGUACUGCCCGAUAAAAGGGAUGGAUGGGAGCUGACAGCAGCAGGGACAAGCACUCCUGCACUUUCUGAAUAAAUAAAUCGGUUUUGGAAUGAUUUUUGCCUUAG